ensembl:lincRNA
GACCGCCUGAUUUUGGGAUCCAACAGCACCUACCUGUACAUGGGAUUUCCUUCGGAGCGGGGCAGUGAGGACCUGAGCAGGUUCGAUUACAACUUCUUCCAGCUGGAGAGGGCAGCCGCGGAGGGAGUCAGUGCAGACAAACUUGGUGCUGCGGACGGUGGAGACAGCAAGGCAGACCCCAGUGUCCUGGCUGCGUUCCAGGACUAAUCAAACGGAUGCCACUGGUUGCAGAAGCAAAUCAAAUGAGUGAAGAGCUGAAGAAGGUAAUUUAGCUAGAGCCAGGAGCUGGUAUGCCAGGUGCCCCUUGUGGGGCAGGGGUGCCUUCUCAAGGACUCUCAGGGAACUAGCGACAGAAGCCAGACUGCCCAGCCCAGUCCCGAGCACCAUUCCUUUCACCAACAGCCUACCAGGGCCAUCAGGAUCCCAGACCAACUCUUACUGGCCAUGAGCAGACCCUCCCAGAUGGUCCUGGGGCCUCUCCAGGCCUAGGCACCCUGAUGGCUGCUGUGCCACAGAGACCACCCGGGCUGGGGACAGCUCCCUGGAGAUAUGAGCUCCCAUCGGCCGGAACCUUGUAAGAGAUUUAAUCAAUUUGGUAGGGACUCCAAGUGUUAGUUCCAGGAUAUAUUGGAGAAAAACUGGUGCUCUGUCUUUCCUCUUAGUGGGAAAUCCAAGGGGAAGAGUGGGACACUUUCUUACAGAAAGUCUUACUCAUUCAUCAUUAGGAAGGUGGAGGGUGGGAGGAUGAAAAAGCAAUUGCAAAAGUGUUAUGAGCUGUGAAUGUAGGAUUUCUUUUUUUUGAUAGGGUCUCACUCUGCUGUCCAGGCUGGAGUGCAGUGGUGCAAUCGUGGCUCACUGCAACCUCCACUUCCCAGGUUCAAGUGAUCCUCCCACCUCAGCCUCCCAAGUAGCUGGGACUACAGGCCUGCACUUCCAUGCCCGGCUAAUUUUUGUAUUUUUAGUAGAGAUGGGGUUUCACUAUGUUGCCCAGGCUGGUCCUGAACUCCUGGGCUCAAGCGAUCCACUCACCUCAGCCUCCCAAAAUGCUGGGAUUAUAGGUGUGAGACACUGUGCCCGGCCGAAUGUACAAUUAUUGAGUGAGAAGUGUUUCUUUUACCAGGGACUUAACAUGGAAUUGAAGGUGAAGAAUUUGGCAUCAUCAGAUUCCAAGGGCUAUGACCUACAGAAGGAGGUCUUGGUGAAGGUGACCCACCACGGGACUCAUGAGGUGCUCCAGAAAAGGCCGUUUCACCAGCUCCACUGGCUGAUCCACUGGACCUUACUGUCAGGAAGGUCUGUGUGAUGCGGAGAGAGUCUCCCAUGAGACCCUCACCCUGGGGAGUCAGGCUGGACUUCUCUGCCGAGUUCUGUGAGGCCGUGGGAGGGGAGCCCUCAGUGUGUUUGUACUUUGCAUUUUUCUUUUUUUUCCAGCAAAGGCCACUGGCGCAAAGUGGCUCUGGUGCCCCGAUAUUCCACGUGCCUCUUUCCGGCCAGGCUUUCCCCUAGAAUUUGGCUUGGCAGUUUCCUGUCUCGUCAGACCUUGUUUUAAUAAAAUUUGUAAUUCUAAAAAAUCCUUUUCUAUGCUAUUCUAUUUUGUAUUAUAGUCUAAGAUAGUUCGGAAAAUAGCCUUUUAAAUUAUUGCUAGCAGAAGGGUUACUGAGUGCACAUGAAGGCACUCGUGAGCUCCUGCCUGUCAUUACCAGAAACAGGCCAGGAGACGGAGUUUUCACACUUAUCAUUGGGAGAAUUGUAUGGGAGGGCUGAGGGCCUGGAUGCAUGGUGAAAUGUCAUUUUCCUUCAGCCCAGCAUCCUGUCACUGGGACAGGCAGCUGUUUCAUAGGACUGCUUCUGCUUAAGCACACCAGGUUCUCUUUUAAGGGGUUGUACAGUUUGUUUUCCAUUUUUCUCAUGAAGAUAUGAAUCUUACCAAUCUGUCAUCCUCAAGACUGUUCAUUUUUACAUUAAAACAAGUAAGAUUAGGCCUGGCACGGUGAUUCCCAUCUGUAAUCCCAGGAUUUGGGGAGGCCAAGGUGGGUAGACGGCUUGAGCUCAGGAGUUUGAGACCAGCUUGGGCAACAUGGUGAAACCCCAUCUCUAAAAAAAUACAAAAUUAGCUGAGUAUGGUGAUGAGCACCUGUAGUCCCCGCUACUGGGGAGGCUGAGGUAGGAGAAUCACCUGAGCCUGAGGAGGUCGAGGCUACAGUGAGCUGUGAUCACACCACUAUGACUCCAGCCUGGGUGACAAAGCGAGACCCUGUCUCAAAAAAACAAGCUUAGUGCCAGUGACCUGUCCUCAGAUGAAGUCCUGCUUUCCUCAGGAGGCUUCUGGAAGGCUGUAGUCUGAGGGUCUCGUGACAUGGUGUGUAGUUGGAAGCUUCUGGAAGGCUGUGGUCUGGGGGUCUCUUGUGACGUGUGUGAAAGAACACAUUCCUCCCUAUAUCAGAGCCUUGAGCCCGACACAUCACAUCCCCCCAUAUGCCUCCACUCCUGGGCCCGACA